UACGUAGGGUGCAAGCGUUGUCCGGAAUUAUUGGGCGUAAAGAGCUCGUAGGCGGUCUGUCGCGUCUGCUGUGAAAACUCAGGGCUUAACCCUGAGCUUGCAGUGGGUACGGGCAGACUAGAGUGCGGUAGGGGAGACUGGAAUUCCUGGUGUAGCGGUGAAAUGCGCAGAUAUCGGGAAGAACACCCGUGGCGAAGGCGGCACUCUGGGACGGUACUGACGCUGAGACGCGAAAGCGUGGGGAGCGAACAGG
rnacentral:rRNA from 1 species